GUUCAAACACCUAAUAUGGCGCAAGGAAACUUUUUUAGUUAGAAAUGAAAACAGUAUUAGAGAUCCAUCUAUAAGCAAAGUUACGCGCUUUAUAGUGUAAAGUGAGUAUUAUCAACAAUUGAUUGACAAAUCAAAUAUGAGUAUUGCAUGUGCGUCAUGAUAAAUCAUGAAAGUGCACAAAAAUCAUUUCUUGAUUUUCUCUCUUUACACUUUAUUUACGAAAGAUGAAUCCAAAUCUUUUAGAAUUUGGAUACAAUAGUCAACUACUGGACUUCAAUGCGCUGAAGCUUCAAUUACAAUAGAUACUAAUUUUACCUUCAUUUCCUCAAUCAAGGGAGGGAAUCCCCCAAUAAGUGUCAUGAAAGUCAGGACAGACAUCAGAAAUGAAAGUAGUGAUCCUCUGACCUAAUGCAUUCCACAUACGAGAAAACAAUUACAGUUCAAAUUUAUAAAUCACGGGAAAUACUGAUCUCUUACUUGAGCCGACCUGAUAGAAUAUGGUGCCUAGGCUUAUAGCUAUUGCGAUAAAGACAACAAGACGUAACCAGUAGUUGCUGAUGUCACGAUACAAUUGCAGGGAAGAUCUUUUUAUAAGAACCAUGCAUUGACUCGGAAAUAGAGCACGUGUUCUCCUAUUCCUCAUUGCGCUCAAAUCCUAGUACGUACAAUUCCAUAAAGUAAAACGUUAAAUCUUACAGUUUAGGUGGGUUCUGUGGUGGAUCACCUUGAUAAGUGGUUAUGGUUGAUCAAUACUUUAAAAUCACUUUGAAACUCUAAUGACUAUCGACAACCUCCAUUGAAAGUAGGAGUUCAUGGUCCCCCAUAUUAUAUUUGUUUCCCUGUAUUUAUCAAACCAACACUGAUCAAGUUUGUGUGUUAGCCUUGAGGGCAAGGAGACGAGAACUUCUACUUCCAGUAGGAGGCAUUUGUCGUUGAUGGAGUUUCGAACAGUUUUCAGGUACCAGUUCACACUGAGCCAUCUACCAAAGUGGUCUAGAGUAGAAUUUGUGCUCAUUGUUGGCUUUGAAAAGUACAUUAUAUUCUGUGUUUUUCUAGUCUAAGUCUAACUUAGGAAUGCACUAUGAUACUUACACAUUUACUUAUUUUUGUCACCUCAAUCUGAACUUGAAAUUUCAUUUCAGACCUUUUAUAAGAAUUUACAAGGACAUCAAUUGCUUUUUCAGUAAUAAAUCCUGUACCAAAGCCUUCUUCAAUAUCCUGAAAACAAAGUAAAUUAAUCCAUUAUGUUUCAGUUUUUCAACUGUUUUGACUCUUGUGCCUUUUAAUCUAGAAGACUUUGGAUAUAUAUAGCUGAAAAAAUAUUACUAUAUACAAAUUACAUUAGCGAUGAAAUAAAGAGGGAAAAAAAUGAAGCCCACCUCUAAUUCUGUAGUCUGGUGACAGAAAUUAGAGAUGUAUUCUAUUUUUCCAGUACUUCAUUUUUUUUUUGCUAAUUCUCUUUUAUUUUGUUGUAGCUUAUAAUACCUUUAAAAUCCUAAUGCUGUCAAAUAAAUACUAUUUAGACUCAAAGGUUUGCAUAAAUACCUGAUCAAAAUCUUUGUUUAUAAUCCUCAAGUAGUGAUCAGAAGGAUUAUAGAGAGUUGGACAAGGGAAACCAUUUGAAGCAAAAAACUGCACUGAAUCAAGUGUCACUAUAUGUAUUUUGUCAACUUGAAAUCAAUGUGCUACAAGGAUUUUAGUUCAUAACCUGAUUUGCUUCAGAAGCUGGACCAAAAUAAAUUGUCUCUCCAGAAGAUAGAAGACAGAGGUAAUCAAAAAGUUCAAAAACUUCACUACUCGGCUGAUGGAUGGAUGCAACAAUUGUUCUUUGAAUACCAUCCCUUAGACUUAAACUUGCAAUUCUACUCAUAACAUAGUAGGAAGCUGCACUAUCAAGUCCACUAGUUGGUUCAUCAAGGAAAAGAAGUCUAGGGCGUGUUAGCAUCUCUAUGCAAAUGCUUAGUCUCCUCUUUUGUCCUCCACUUAAGCCCUUAGAACCAUACCCUCCAACCCUUGUGUUAAUAGCAUCUUGCAGGCCCAUUUUUCUGAGUGUGAUAUCUGCUUGUCUCUUCUUCUCUGCUAUGGACAUUGAGUUUGGAAAUUGAAGUUGAGCUGAGUAGUAUAAAGUUUCUCCAGCUGUUAAAGCUGACAGCAUAGCAUCAUCUUGUGUUACAUAGCCCUGAAUUUUCAUGGUGGGAAAAAGAUGAAUCAAGUUCUUUUAGAAUGUGGAUACAGUAGUCUACUGCUAGAGUUCACAAUUGUGAAGCUUCAAUUCGAAAAGAUAACAGUUUUACCUUCAUUCCCUCAAUCAAGGGAGAGAAUCCACCAACUAGUGUCAUGAAAGUCAGGACUGACAUAAAAAAUGAAAGUAGCGAUCCUCUGGCCUGAAACAUGCCAUGUACGGGGUUACAAUUGUGUUUCAAAUUUAUAAAUCACAGGGAGUGCUGUGCUGAUCGAUGACUUGAGCCAACGGGAUGGAAGAUAGAGCCUAGGCUUAUAGCUAUUGCAAUAAAGACAACAAGACGUAACCAGUAGUUGCUGAUGUCACGAUACAGUUGCAGGGAAGAUCUUUUUAUAAGAAUCUUGCACUGAGUCAGAAAUGGAGCGUGGGUCCUCUUAUUCCUUAUUGCACCCAAAUCCUAAAGCCUUAUAAGCUUUUACAAGGAUACCAAUUGCUUCUUCAGUAAUAACUCCCUUACCAAAGCCUUCUUCAAUGUCCUGAAAACCAAAAGCUUUACCAAAAUAUACUGUCUCCCCAGAAGAAAGAAGACAGAGGUCUUGGAACAGUUCAAAAACUUCACUACAAGGCUGAUGGAUGGAUGCAACAAUUGUCCUUUGAAUACCAUCCCUUAGACUUAAAUUUGCAAUUCUACUCAUAACAUAGUAGGAAGCUGCACUAUCAAGUCCACUCGUUGGCUCAUCAAGGAAAAGAAGUCU